rnacentral:snoRNA from 1 species
UGAUCGAAGGAUGACUUCAUGUAUACAUUCCUUGGAAAGCCGGAACAAAAUGAGUGAAACCCCAUACCGCCAUCCUCGUCGAACUGAGGUCC